CAAUAGCGUAUAUUGAAGUUGUUGCAGUUAAAAAGCUCGUAGUUGGAUUUCUGAUCGAGACAUCAGGUCGGGUCCGAGAGGAUCAUGUACUUUGAUUUUGUUUUGAUCAUCCUUGGGGAGAGCAUUUCUGGCAUUCAGUUGUCGGGAUUGGGAUCCUCAUCGUUUACUGUGAAAAAAUUAGAGUGUUCAAAGCAGGCCUCGGCCUCUGAAUACAUUAGCAUGGAAUAAUAAGAUAGGACUUUGGUGGUCUAUUUUGUUGGUUUGCACGCCAAAGUAAUGAUUAAUAGGGAUAGUUGGGGGUAUUCGUAUUCAAUUGUCAGAGGUGAAAUUCUUGGAUUUAUGGAAGACGAACUACUGCGAAAGCAUUUACCAAGGAUGUUUUCAUUAA
rnacentral:rRNA from 1 species